UGUUCCCGGGCCUUGUACACACCGCCCGUCAAGCCACGAAAGUGGGUAGUACCCGAAGUCGCUGACCCAACCUUCGGGAGGGAUGUGCCGAAGGUAAGACCCACGAUUGGGGCU
rnacentral:rRNA from 1 species